rnacentral:rRNA from 1 species
GAAGGUGGGACAGAUGAUUGGGGUGAAGUCGUAACAAGGUAGCCGUAUCGGAAGGUGCGGCUGGAUCACCUCCUUU